GCUGGGCGUGGUGGCGCAUGCCUGUAGUCCCAGCUACUUGGGAGGCUGAGGCAGGAGAAUUGCUUGAACCGGGGAGGUGGAGGUUGCAGUGAGCUGAGAUCACGCCACUGCACUCCAGCCUGGGUAACAGAGCGAGACUCUGUUUCAA
ensembl:misc_RNA Metazoa_SRP Metazoan signal recognition particle RNA